AUGAAAACUGAUGUGGAGAAACUAUUAUGUUGAUAUAGGAAUAAGUGUAGAGUUUAGAGAAUAUAUUUUUAGAAAACUCCUAAUUUCUGUAAAGUGUACUAUAUUCGUCCAUUUUAUAUGGCAUUUAUUCCAUUCUUUGAUGGCUUAAACGUUUGAUACUAUUCCUUUCUAUGCAACUCUCACAACUUUCAAGAAUCAUAAACUAUUCAAAUUUUAAACUUUGAUGUGAUAUUAUGUCUAUCACUCUAACUUUUUAACCACUACUUUAGUAGUUUAGUUCACUAUCAGAGGCGAAUCCAGGAUUUCAAGAGGAUAGGCUCACCAUCAGCUAUGUUUCUUUUUUAAUUUAUGUUGCCUUUGGUUCGUUGCAGCUUAGCGCCUAUGGGGUUUUUUGAUUUCUUUUGCCUUUUGGGACUUGGGUAAUUAGAAAUAAACGAAAAAAAGUCAUUAGAUGUAAUAUAAAAAAGAAACGAGUUUUUUUACUUUUGGGUAAUUAGAAUUGUAGAAGAAAAAGGAUUUAAAAUAAUAUAAAAAGAAAAGUUAAAAGGUUGCUUUAGAAAAUAAAAACGUAAAAACGUGCAGGAGCUCAGGUCUGAUUCUAAGACAUUGAGGAAAUAAACACAGCUCCUAACCAGUGCUCCACUCGGCCUGUUUUGACCAUGUGUUCCUUCAGUUAAUAUUAGAUAUAUUUUCAGAAUUAUACACAUGAUAUAUCGAGUUUAGUCGAGCGAUCAUGUGUUCACGUGACCCAAAUUUUAUACAUAAAUUUGCCUCUGUUCACUAUUACUAAUAUUAUAUACUAGGUUUAGAGUACGCGCUUUGCGUGUACCUAUGUCAAUAAAUAUACAAUUUAAAAUAUAUAAUAAAUAUUACUAAAUGAUGCGUUUAUGUUAUAAGAUAAGAAUUAAAGUAAAAUGUAAGUUCUUGAAACUAAUUAAUGUUGAUCAUACUUAGCAAGAUCUGCAAUGGAAGAAAUCCUGUCAUACACUGAUAGGACAAUAUUCUUAAAUAAAAUAUCGAUUAAUAACAUAAAUUCAAAUAACUUAUGCAUUUAAUCCUGAUUCUGUUCAACCCGUAGCUUCUUCCUUCGCGUCUCCAAGAAUGACAUAAUCAAUUUGAAUACCAACAGAUAUAGUCUAUCAAUUUUCUACCAAAACUUUAAUUGGACAUGACUCUAGUUGAAUUCAAAGUUCACUACAAGCUAAAAUCUAAUUUGAAUACAACUAACAUAAGAUAAUCUUAAUUAUUUACCUCGCCUAGCAAUUAUACUGAGCUUUUCAGACGCACCCUUUUAUUAAUUGUGAUUAAUGAACUGUUAUUGUCAUUCACAAAAGGCUAGAUGAUAUCUCAUAUCUCCAUAUUCAAAUUUCUGUCCAAAUUUAUCUUUUUAUAGCUUUUUUCUUCUCUUACUAUUAAUGUCCCCUCAAGUUUUCCGUCACAUAUCAGAAGUUCCAACAAAAGUGAGUGUGUGUGUGUGUAUAUAUCUUUGAAGUUUCGUGCUUUUAUAUUAAUAGUAUAAAUAAAAAGAUACAGAAAGAUGUAUUCAUUGGGAAAAUGAACUGUUAAGUAGAAAAAGAGUAACUAUUAGUCGAGAUAUUAUUACAGUGAUGGUUAAUAUUUAAUUUUUAUUAUUUAGUAUUGUAAUGAAACCGGUCCAAUAGAGCUCAAUGAAUAUAGAUUAUUCACCAACUAGUUUGGGAUCGAUGCAUAGUUGAUUGAUUGAUCAAUUUCGAGUUUUUCAUCUCAGUAGUCAACAGUUAGGUUAUGAACCGAGCUUUAGGGGGAGGUUCUUGUUUUUGUAGUUAUUUCGUGGUAGAUUGUUGUUGUGGUAAUUCCUUAAUGGCGGUCUUUGGUUAAUAGCAGUGCUUUUGCACUUAUCAAAACUUUCGUGAUAUCUAAUGUG